rnacentral:rRNA from 1 species
UACGGAGGGUGCAAGCGUUGUCCGGAAUCACUGGGCGUAAAGGGCGCGUAGGCGGCCUGGUAAGUAGGGGGUGAAAUCCUGCGGCUUAACCGCAGGGCUGCCUUCUAAACUGUCAGGCUUGAGCACGGUAGAGGCAGAUGGAAUUCCCGGUGUAGCGGUGGAAUGCGUAGAGAUCGGGAAGAACAUCAGUGGCGAAGGCGGUCUGCUGGGCCGUUGCUGACACUGAACCGCGACAGCAUGGGGAGCAAACAGG